CGGAGGGUGUCCUUAGUGGCGGACGGGUGAGUAACGCGUGGGAAUUUGCCUUUCGGUACGGGAUAACUAAGGGAAACUUUAGCUAAUACCGCAUACGCCCUACGGGGGAAAGCGGGGGAUCUUCGGACCUCGCGCUAUUAGAUGAGCCCAUGUCGGAUUAGCUUGUUGGUGAGGUAAAGGCUCACCAAGGCGACGAUCCGUAGCUGGUCUGAGAGGACGAUCAGCCACACUGGGACUGAGACACGGCCCAGACUCC
rnacentral:rRNA from 1 species